UCCGCUUCGUCGGCAAGCGAGGAGUGAACAGCUGCUGCCGGCGGCGCUGUUGGCGGCGGCGUUUUGUGCUUGCUUCUAAACAGUCCGCCGUCUCGACUGAGAACGGAGGGAGCAUUUGGCGUUCGCCGGGCGAGUCGCGUGACACGAAGAGGCAUUUCGGUGACAUUUGCGCUCUUUGAGCUCGCGAUAGGGUGCGUGACAUAGCUUGCCAUACUGUGGCGUCAGUACUUUGCAUGGCAUAGAGAAGCCUUGCGCUUUCGAAACCUGCGAGUGUCUCGGCUGUGGCACCGUACGUGGACAGCGUCGCAGUGAAGGCUGUGCGUGUGAUGCUGUGGUUUGAGUGCACCUUGCGGGGUUACCGUAUUCGAGCGUGACAAAGUUGCAAAGCCGGUGACAUUGCAGGUGCGUGACGACGGUCCAGUAUAACGCCUCAGCGAGUUGCACCUCAUGAUGGGGAACAGCACCUCUGAAGAAGUGGGAACACCUCCUGCCCCAGCUAUCCCAACGUAUUCAAGGACGCCAGCCCAUUUGGGACAGCGAGUGGUGCGUGGUCCGGCCUGGAAGUGGGACAAUCAGGAUGGAGGCGAUGGUCACGUGGGCACUCUAAUCAUCGUAGAGCAGCCCUGGAGCGAGGAAGAAGAGAACUCGCCCUUUUGCGUUAGGGUCCUCUGGGACAACGGCAAGCUCUGCAAUUACCGGGCAAGUCCGAGCAAAGAAUGCGACCUGCGACUGUUCGACAGUGGACCCGUAGGCAAGCAUGCUUUCUGCACCACUUCAUCAGUCUGUGUGGUUUUCUGGAAUGGUAUUUUGUGCAUCUACCAGUAUUUUGCUGCGUUGACUAAAUUUAUCGAUGCUUACUAGGUGCCAAAGCAAA
rnacentral:misc_RNA from 1 species